rnacentral:rRNA from 1 species
GGCGCACGGGUGCGUAACACGUAUACAAUCUACCUUAACAAGGGGGGAUAAGCCUUUCGAAAGAGAGAUUAAUACCCCGUAAUAAAUUGAACGGCAUCGUUUGAUUUUGAAAGCUCCGGCGGUUUGAGAUGAGUAUGCGUCUGAUUAGCUAGUUGGUGAGGUAACGGCUCACCAAGGCGACGAUCAGUAGGGGACCUGAGAGGACUAACCCCCCACACUGGUACUGAGACACGGACCAGACUCCUACGGGAGGCAGCAGUAAGGAAUAUUGGUCAAUGGAGGCAACUCUGAACCAGCCAUGCCGCGUGCAGGAUGACGGCCCUAUGGGUUGUAAACUGCUUUUAUACAAGAGAAAACCCUGGUACGUGUACCAAGUUGAUAGUAUUGUAAGAAUAAGCAUCGGCUAACUUCGUG